UGCCCUAGUCCUUGCUCCUCUGAGAAUCCUCGUGGGUCACACACGUCUUUCCGUGCACCCAUCCGUAGGUCCUUUCCGAAGGACCUAUGUCGAUCGUCGCGAUCUUGGAAUGUUCAUAGACUGUGUCAUACCAUGACAACUUUCAGCAACGGAUCUCUUGGCUCUCGCAUCGAUGAAGGACGCAGCGAAACGCGAUAUGUAAUGUGAAUUGCAGAUCUUCCGUGAAUCAUCGAAUCUUUGAACGCACCUUGCGCUCCUCGGUAUUCCGAGGAGCAUGCCUGUCUGAGCGUCUUGGUACUCUCAAGACCCUCCUGGGUCUUGGAAAUUGGGGGUUGCGGGCGUCCGACCUCGGACGUGGGCUCUCCUCGAACGCAUCAGCGGGGGCGCAGCGUGCGACCUUCUUCGACGUCGUAAAGGAUCGUCGUGGGUCGUAAGCAAAGCUCGUGCUCGAACGAUGCCUCGGCAUCCAUGAAAGGUCAUCCGACCUCAGAUCAGGCAGGACUACCCGCCGAACUUAAGCAUAUCAAUAAG
rnacentral:rRNA from 1 species